rnacentral:rRNA from 1 species
GACGAACGCUGGCGGCGUGCCUAAUACAUGCAAGUUGAGCGCUGAAGGUUGGUACUUGUACCAACUGGAUGAGCAGCGAACGGGUGAGUAACGCGUGGGGAAUCUGCCUUUGAGCGGGGGACAACAUUUGGAAACGAAUGCUAAUACCGCAUAAAAACUUUAAACACAAGUUUUAAGUUUGAAAGAUGCAAUUGCAUCACUCAAAGAUGAUCCCGCGUUGUAUUAGCUAGUUGGUGAGGUAAAGGCCCACCAAGGCGAUGAUACAUAGCCGACCUGAGAGGGUGAUCGGCCACAGUGGGACUGAGACAAGGCCCAAACUCCUACGGGAGGCAGCAGUAGGGAAUCUUCGGCAAUGGACGAAAGUCUGACCGAGCAACGCCGCGGGAGUGAAGAAGGGUUUCGGAUCGGAAAACUCUGUUGGUAGAGAAGAACGUUGGUGAGAGUGGAAAGCUCAUCAAGUGACGGUAACUACACAGAAAGGGACGGCUAACUACGUG